rnacentral:lncRNA from 1 species
UACGUCUCCCUUUUAAAUUUUCGGUUUUGAAAUUUCCCGGGCUGUUUUCUGUGUUGCGCAGACCAUGGCGCUGGUCGGCGAGAGUGGAAGCGGCAAAUCCACAGUCAUCUCGCUACUGGAGAGGUUCUACGACCCAGAUUCGGGCAGCAUUCUCAUCGAUGGCGUCGACAUUCGAUCGCUCAAGCUACGCUGGCUCCGACAAAACAUCGCCCUGGUCAGCCAAGAGCCCACACUGUUUAGCGGCAGCAUCCGGUCCAACAUCGCGUAUGGGAGAGAGAGCGGCGCGCCCGUGAGCGAGGAAGAGAUCACCGCGGCCGCCAAGGCCGCCAACGCGCACAGCUUCAUCUCCGCGAUGCCGGGAGGAUACGAGACCGAGGUCGGGGAGAGGGGAAUCCAGCUCUCGGGCGGGCAGAAGCAGCGGAUCGCGAUCGCGAGGGCGGUGCUCAAGGAGCCCAAGAUCUUGCUCCUGGACGAGGCAACGAGCGCGCUGGAUGCAGAGUCGGAGAGGCUGGUCCAGGAAGCGCUGGAUCGGAUCAUGGUGGGCAAGACGAGCGUGGUUGUGGCGCAUCGAUUGUCCACGAUUGUGGGCGUGGACAUGAUUGCGGUGGUGAAGAAUGGAGGGAUUGUGGAACAGGGCAGCCACGAGGAGCUCAUCACAAAGCCCAAUGGCGCCUACGCUACGCUGGUCAAGCUCCAUCGCCACAAGCCAGCAAGCUAGGACCCUAGCCGUAUACAUUUUUCCAACGGUUGCGAUACUUUAGAAUAGAUAUUUUAGAUUUUGGAAAGGAGCUGAGAGUUCUUGUAGAUCGAACCAAAUCGGCGUGUCGCCUCCACGAUUCCCAGCAGGAUCUUCACAUUCUUGGCGGGGAAGCGCUCGAGCAGCGCCUCCCGGGCUCGAUUCGCGAGCUCGUCUCGCAGCUGCGCGCUCCUCUCGGCUCCCACCAGCGUCAAGUAUGUUGUCUUGCGAUUCUUGACGUCACUACUCGCGUCCUUGCCCAUCUCCUCCGCCGUCAUGGUCGCGUCGCUUAGAUCGUCGUUCACUUGCCACAUGAGGCCGAAAUAUCGCCCAAAUCUCCUCAGGCCCUCAAUCUCCUCCUCGCCGGCGCCGCCGACUAUAGCCCCCGCUACCAGCGGCAGCUCGAAGAAGGAGCUCGUCUUGUUGGUGUUCUUGGCGUUGAGUUCCUCGAGUGUUUCCAAGCUCUCUCCCUUCUUGACGUCGUCGUACUGUCCAUACACAAGCCUCUGCAUUGAGAGAGAGAAUUCCUUGACCAGCCUCAGCCUCUUGUCCGUCGAGACGAGCGUGGAGUCCACGACCGUCCCGAAAGCCAGUGCCGCAAGUGCUUGUGCCGCGAGGAUAGCAGUGGUGUCGUCGAACUCUACGUGUGCCGCAGCCCUUCCUUUCCUCGUCCUUGCAUUGUCCAUGCAUGGGAGGUCGUCAGUCGUGAGUAUGAUCGCCAUCCACAUCUCGAUGGUGCAAGCCAUUGGAAGUGCUGCGUGGCGGUCUCCUCCGACCAGCUCGCAAGCAGCGAUACACAGCGAUGCCAAGUGCCUACCUUCUUCGUCCGCUGUGCAGUAGCGUAUUGCUUUGUGGAGUUGUGCCGGGCAUGAUUUGACGAGGUUCGACAUGAUUCUGUCCAGCUCCUCCUCGAUCAUCUCGCCUCUGGAGCUAAGGUACUUGUAGAGCUGCAUGAUUUGCUCCUUGUUUGCUGUAUUGCUGCUGCUGCUGCUGCUCAAUGGUGCCUCUGUUGUUGCAGAGCGGCACUGGAAGUGGAUGAAUUUUUCUGCUCUGCUCGCCGGUGAGCACGAACUUUGGAUGUGUUUCGUGCUUCUGAUUGAGGAGAAGCUCGCUCUAGAACCACCAAUCGCAUUGGAACUUGAACAACACCUUUUGAGGUACGGGGAACUUUUACCGUUGCUGCGGAUUGCUGACGGUGAUGUUGCAGAGCAAUAGCGAGCGUGAAAACGUUCUGUCAUUCCAGCGGAGAAAUCGCAAGCGAUGAAGAACGACGCGCAAGGGCUGAGGGACGCGACCGCCGUAGAUAGAUCUGCUAGAGGAUGGAACCAAAUGAAUGCAUUGCCGAGAUUUCAAUGCUGGAACUACGUGUAAGAGCCCGGGACGCAAUCUUCAUGCCUGCGUGUGUUGGCUUAUCGUCUGGGUUCAUCUCGAUUACAGGCAAAUCACGUUGAUCACAUCCUGUGGAUUAAACGCAUCUAGGAUGCCGCUGCAACGAACUUGUGAACUACCGGCUUGCAGGUCAGAGUUUGUUUGGACUCGACCUUCCACCAGGAAGGAAACUUCAAACUAAAACAAGGUUUUUCUUUCCCUUUUUCCCCGAAUGUGUUGGGCUGACCUGAUCCAUGUCCCACUGGUUGACUAAAUUCCGAGCAAAUAUUUCAGAAUAAUCAUAAAGAAGUCAUGAGGAUUUUCCACGUCUAUGAGAAGUUUCCUAAUGCGUCCCACUGCGGCUUCCAUGGUUUUUCGCUAGUUUCCAGGCUACUUGAUUUAAAUCAACCUUGAGGUCAGAAAAUUGAUCGCCACACAACAUUGCCAUCACAUAGUGGCACUUUUUCUGUGGACGCUAUGGCGGGGAGAAGCUCACUUCUCAUGAAUGUGGCAGUGAUGCUUGUGAUUCUUCUGGUUUUGGUGCUGGAACCCAAUGUCGCCAGCGGCAAUAGAUUGUUGCCAGCGAAACAUGUCAUCAGGUAUCAUGAGGAUCAUAGCUUUGGAGUGGAAAUCCCUGGUUUGAUCAAAUCGGAGCAGGCGACAGGGAGACGACAAACGCUAGAGCAUAACUCUCCAGCAGAAUCUCGUCCCAAGUUCUUGGAGAAGACGCUAUCUCCGGAUGAUCUCGAAAUCACGGCACCAGCGGCUUCUCCGGAUCACGCAGGUGUUGUCCAGAAUGCAAAUCUAGACGCUGUCGUGUCUCACAGCCCAGGCGAGAAGAUCGCAAUUGUGGUUGUGAUCGUGUUCUUCGUGGCUUCGAUCGGGGCGCUGGUGCUCUACGUGUGCAAGACGAAGAAAUACAUUGAGCACCGGCGGGCGGCGUCGCUGGCGAGAUCGAUCGAGCAGGGAUUUGGUCCCAGGAGCAUAGCUCAAGCAUCCACGUCCUCCUCGUUGUCGCCAUCGUCCCCUGGAUCAUACUCUCCACCGCAUCCACAACUAUCAAGUUCGUGAUCCAUGGGCUAGAAUUAUAUCUAUCGGGGAGAUCCAUGAGCUCGCUAGAUCUAUCGAUCGAUCGAUCGAUCGGGAUCGGGGAAGAAAAUCUGGUACUGUUGCUGUGAAUUUUUUUCUUUUCUUCGCCGCCACGAUUUGCAAGAUUUUGCUUAUCGACGGUUCAAGGAGUUGUUAAUAAUAAUGUUGCAAACCCUAAGGGCAAACGUGGCAGGGAAUCUUGCUUAAAUUAUCCACCUAAAAGCAGAGGGUCUUGUGUGCGAAGCUUUGUAGCGGCCGGACAUAAAAUCUCGCGCCAAAAAACUGGGAGCCUUAGGGUUGCUAGGGCGAAGCGGCGAUGGCGGGCGGCAAAAGGGGCAGCAAGAGGCAAGGUAUGGUUUCGCCCCCUUUCCUCGUCCACAGCAAUGGAUCGGCGUGCUUGUCCUGGCAGCAUGGAGCGAGAGCGAGGAUGAAGAUUAUCGCGCAGAAGACGAUGGUGAGUUAAUUUCUGUUUCCUUUUCUCCGUUUCACUUGUAGCUCACGAUCCGCGCCAUGCAGCUAGCGGCAGCCAUUCCGACGGCGAGUCCGUCGAAUCGCAUCGAUCUGAGAAGAUGGACCCAUCAGAGGAGAGCUUCCAAAACGCCGAGACCAGUGACGAAGAAGAGGCCAGUGAUAUCAGUGCUCCGGGCAAAGUAAAAAUGGAGGAAGAUGUGGACGUCAAGCCACUCUCUGUUGCCACAGCACCGCCGUUUCCAACGGUAAUAGCUCCAAAGCGACGGUAUGGCACCAGAGACGAGUUCGAGGACUGGACGGGGCCAAGCAGAAGGAAGAAAGCGAAAAAGAGCAAGAACGCUGUGCAAGACGAGGAUGACGACGACAACUAUGAUCCCGCCACCGAGAACUUGGAAUGGAAGCAGUGGGCUCGAGAGUUGGAGACGGAUAUAGUGAAGAUAGGGAAAUGCAGCAGAUGGGGUGACGACGACAUGGAAGAGGAUCAGCCGAAGAAGAAAGUCCUGGCGCAGCACGAGACGCCAUCGGAGCUCGUGUUUCCACUGCUGCCGUUUCAAGGGGAGUUUCUAACGUGGAGUUUGUCGCGGGAGGAGUCAAACAUGCGGGGUGGUGUUCUUGCCGACGAGAUGGGGAUGGGAAAAACUAUCCAGGCCAUCUCACUCAUCAUUGCAGGCAGAACAGCAGGACACGGGCACGACCCGAAUGCUCCUGAUGCGAAAAAUCUCAACACGACUCUGGUGGUUUGUCCGGUGGUGGCAAUCGAGCAGUGGAAGAGUGAGAUAGAACGGUUCACCAAGGAAGGGACUUUGAAGGUGCUUAUCUACCAUGGAAACCGGAAGCAUAUAACUGUCAAGGAGUUGGCCAAGCACGACGUGGUUUUGACGACGUAUUCGAUUAUCGAGCACGACUAUCGCAAGAUCCUGCCCGACAAGCUGAGGUGCAAAUGGUGCCAGAAAGCUUACUCCGCGCAAGGGUUGGCGAAGCAUUACAAGUAUCACUGUGGACCCGAGGCCAAAAAGAGUGCGGCGCAAUCCAAGCAGAAGAAGGGAAAAAAAAAGGAAGUGAAGAAGGCGGUGAAUCAGAGGAAAGGGAGUGCGGCCAAAGAUGAUUUUUCGCUUCUGCAUUCCGUGAAAUGGGUGCGAAUUAUCCUCGAUGAGGUAUGAUACGUCCCAACUCUAGCGUGUGACUCUACCAUACGGAUUUCAGGCACACACGAUAAAGGAUAGAGCCUCCAAUACUGCCAAGUCGGUGUUUGCACUGCAGUCUUGUUACAAGUGGGGCUUAAGUGGUACACCGCUGCAGAAUCGCGUUGGCGAACUUUAUUCACUUGUAAGGAUAUUUCACGGUUGUUUUUUUCUUGGCUUGACUUUUUUUUUCCUUUUAUCUGCAGGUUCGUUAUUUGGAAAUAAAUCCUUAUGCGUAUUUUUUCUGUAAGAAGUGUGACUGUAAAUCGCUCGAAUACUCGUAAGUUUCGAUGUGUUGUUUUCUCUCGGAUGUUGAUGUUCUGUUGUAGGGCGACAAUGUGCGAUAAGUGUGAGCACGCCAGCACACUUCAUUUUUGUUGGUGGAACAAAGUAAGUUUUGCCUGUAUUAUGGACACAUUUGAACCGCUUGUUCUUUGCAGUUUAUUGCUCAACCUAUUUCAAGGUUCGGAUUUCAACAGGGAGGUGGGAAAUCUAUGAAGUUACUGAGGCAAAAGCUGCUGGAUGAAAUGCUCCUGCGGCGGACCAAAAUCGAACGUGCAGCAGACCUCUCUAUGCCUCCAAAACUGGUGGGACUUCUCUUAAUGUGUUUGUUUGAUGAACUUCAUUCUAAAUGCGCUCUGGCCUGCAGUCGUUCGUGCGGAAGGUAGUUUUCGAUGCCAAAGAGGAUGAUUAUUAUCAGUCUUUAUACUCACAGAGCAAAUCCGUCUUUAACACGUAAGUCUUAGAUCUUUUCUAAACGACGAGUUGACAAUGCCGGGCUCCAGAUACGUGAAAGAAGGAUCUGUUCUCAACAACUAUGGUCACAUAUUUGACCUGCUUACCAGAUUACGCCAGGCAGUGGACCAUCCUUACCUUGUCGUUCAUUCUGCUACUGGCGCGUCGGGAGUAUCUGUGACUACUCCUCUCUGUGUAAUUUGUGACGAGGACUGCAUUGAUCCUGUGGUAUGUAGUAUUUUCUCCUUGGCAGCUCACUUCAACAAUGUCUGCAGUCUGCAAAAUGCAAGGACACGUUUUGUCGAUCAUGUUUGGAGAAUUUACUGUCGGAAGGCUCCGAGGACACCAAGAUAGCUUGCCCAAGAUGCGAGACGCCUCUCACGGUUGAUGCCAAGAGCUCAAAGGUUGUUGGAAAGAAGUUAACAGGCUAUAGAAAAGGGAGCAUCAUCAACAGACUGGAUUUGAAUGAUUUCGUUACAAGCACCAAAAUCGAGGCUCUGGUGAGUAGCUGAACAAACCCACAGUUUCCUUGAUCCUCAUUGCCGAUCGCAGAAGGAGGAAGUGAAGAAGAUGAUCUCGAAGGAUACAUCUGCCAAGGGUCUGGUAUUCAGCCAGUUUACGUCAAUGCUGGACUUGAUUGGAUACUCUUUCGAACUCGUAAGUUCUAGCUCUGCCUUUGGAAGCUCUUUUUACUAGCCAGUUUUCUCAUGCAGGCUGGAGUCAAAUGUGUAAAACUCGAUGGUGGCAUGUCCUUGUCUCAGCGAAGCACUGCCAUUGACACAUUUAGGAACGACCCAGAGUGUAAGCUCUUCCUCAUGAGUCUCAAGGCCGGCGGCGUGGCGCUCAAUCUAACUGUAGCAUCAUACGUAAGCUUCUUCUUGGCUUGUGCUGCGAGCUUAACGAACGUAUCCUUUUUUGUUUUUGCAGAUUUUUUUGAUGGACCCGUGGUGGAAUCCAGCAGUGGAGCAUCAAGCUCAAGACAGAAUCCACCGCAUAGGCCAAUACAAGCCCAUCAGGUAGGCAUUCUUAAGGAAGAGGUGUUCCAGCAACUAAACCUUCGUUUUAAAUCCAGGGUGACUAGAUUCGUUAUCGAGAAUUCUGUGGAAGAACGCAUUCUCAAACUACAGGAGAAGAAGCAGCUGGUUUUUGAAGGGUAAGUCAUCAUAGUUUCAUAGUAUCGAGAAUGAUUAUCGAAUACUUUUGCACAGGACUGUUGGUGGUUCUGAGCAAGCGCUAGGCAAGUUAACCGAACAAGACCUUCGAUUUCUUUUCGCAACCUGAGGACAAAUCGAUCCAAGCGUUCUUGUACACACACACACACACACACGUGAUACACGUGAAUUUUCUAACAAGAUAUACCGCUCCAUCAUAAGACUAUCUCGCUUGACCCAUUUAUGUAUGUAUAGAAUCCGCAAAAUCUUUCUUUCAUCCGCUCCAGAGCUCGGUCCCUGUUCCCCUCACAAGCACCACCCUUUGCAGUCCCUGCGUGAGCUCCUCGCAAUACUCCAUAUACCUCCACGGCUCCAUUCCCUCGUAGUGAUCCGGGAGAUUGAGCAAGACGAGCUGCGCUGACUUGGAUUGCUCCACGAUAAUCUCGUUUAGCUUCUUGGCCGAGUAGCUCUGGCUGAAAGUAUGCCAGGUUCUCUUCAUCGGCACCACGUUGAUGUCGGGAGUGCUCCCCAGGAGCAGCGGCGAGCCGUGGAAGAGCUGGCCUUCGCUUGCAGUGCGGAACAUCUUUCCUUCCCUGAUUGGAGGCAGCUGUCCCGCGCUCUUGGCCCUGAAGAUGUUUCGUCUUGCCUUCUCCUGUGCGAACUCGGAAGCCACCCCUUCCACUACGAUCUCCAAGUCCGACUUGCUCUCUUCCUGUUCGUCAUCACCCCCAGCAGCAGCAUUGUGAUUGUCGUGCUCUUCUUUGGAGAAACUCUCCGCCUUCUCCUCUGUCGCAACUUGCUGGUUGGCUGUCGAGCUCUCUGGCUCAUCGUCAUGCACAGACUCCGGCGACGCUUGACCCUCUACGGAGUGUGCUUUGGAUGAGCGCUGAGCCCAUCGAGGACGCCGGCUGAUUGGUGAGGCGCCACGCAGCAAACUUAGCUCGCCAGGGAAGGCCCUCUUGAAAAACUUCUGCAGGGCCUUGUAGUUCCCACCUUUCCCGGGCUUGGUCUCCCUCUCGGCCCGUUUCCUGUGCGUCCAAACGAAAUGUAACAAAUAACGAAACCCAAGGAACAGCUUACCGAAACUGGGCAACUUCAUUUGCAUACGCCAGUGCCUCCUCCAUGCGUAUCGUGUUGUCAAAUGUAUAAGGAGCCAAAUCCGCGUCCUCGAGCUCGAGAACUUCCACAUCAGCUACAAUGCGAACCUGAAAGUGAAAUAUGUUGAACUCUUGCACCGUAUAUGAGAAUGCCAUACCUUAUCCAAAAGCUUGCGCAGAUUGUUCUUGACCUCCUCUGAGUUGUCAAGUCUUUCCGCAACAGUGUGUACUCGCAAUUUACAUUUCCGCCAGACCUUAUGCUGGUUUAUCAAAUGGGCCAGCAUCAGUAGAAGGCCACCAUCGUGGACAAUCCACCAAACGUCAAUGUUCCCCUCCUGCGUGCUUCCGUUGCUAGGGAACACAUCCAAAUGCAUACAGAGCACCACUGCUUUAUCUACAGCUCUGCAUUCUCCCAAAGUUUCCAAGAGCACCUGCUUGAAAAAAAACCCAUUCGUCUAUCUUCCAGACUUGACACAAAGCAACAUACCUCAGCACUGUUUUUCUCUUCUCCGUCUCGCCAGUUUUUUGGCCAUCCCAGGAGCAAUGUAUUUGGUUCUAACGAUCCCAAACCAGAUGAUUGAAUCGCGUAAGUUUUCCCCUCGCGGUAAGACGGCGCGACAAAAACGCGAGAAAAGCCAGUAACUUGAGCAGCUUGCAUACAAUUCUCAAGCUCUACCUGCAGUGAAAAUAAUUUCCGGUGUAGAGAGAACAGAAACAAGCAUGUGAUACAUACGCUUUCUGCUGUUAUUUGUGGCAUCAUAUCCUCAAGUUUUCCUUCAAGAACGACACUAACGACGCAUAAACCUUUACCCUGUUAAGGAAGACUUCAGAACACUCAAGUCUUCGUGACAUGGUCAGUUACCUUUUUCAGCUGAGAUGCGAAGGAUAAAAGUUCGUGCCCAGCAUGAGCAUCAGCGGACCACGAAGAUCGUGGUUUAGAAAGGCAUAAAAGCUGCGGUCUCCAAUUGACCGUGUACCGAGCCUCGCGACCGACAGACAAAAUGCUCUGGACCGCCAAUUGCCAUCUUAAUCCUCCUAAUCCAGUUCCCCAGUCAACCUCAACCUGGAAGUAAGAAACGAAUUAGAGGCCUGCAAUUUACCAAGACGUUCACUUAUGAGUACCUGGCGGUAGUCUAUGUACCCGUAAAUAAUCCCCACCACCACCAUGGCAGCUAAAGCCCAAUACCAGACUAUAAAAAAGUUCAUUGCGGAGCACAGGAAAAAUCCUAGAAGAGCGAAGAACCAGUGGUAGUGUUUCCAUUUCGGUCUCCAGCUGAAAUGACGCCGAAUAAGGCCUUUGAACUUUAUAAGUGAAAGGGACGGGACAUACCUUGGUGCUUGCAUGAUCGACAGUAUGAAACACGAGAGGUUCAGUGCCGCGUAACAAGUAAGAAAACAUAUCGAAACUAGAGGGGCAAUCUUGUCCAAACUUCCGAUCAUAGCAGCCAUCAUACACAGUAUAGUAGUAAAGAUCAGCGCCCUUCGGGGUUCGCCAUUUUCUGUGGUAGAAGAUAACCGAUUCAGGAAAGGAAUGAUCCGGUCUCCAGCGAUGGCCUGAAAGAUCAAACGAUCAGAAAGAAGGAACCAACAAGUCGUUGCCAGCAAAAAGAACUGACCUGGAGUAGACGAGGCGAGGUGAUUAAGCAUUGCAAAGCUUGUGCUAGCGAGGCAAUGAUAAUACCCAGCUGCGUCAAUAUUGGCAAGGGAAAGGCGACGUCUUUCAUCGCCUGCAACCUUCCCUCUCCAGAAUGCACGCGUCCAACAUCCUGCCCGAGUAAGUACUUUCGGGUUCCAACAGCAGCCCACAAACCCAGAUACGAUGUGUAGAUUAUAAAGCUGAUCACGAUCGCUCCAAGAGUUCCAGACGGAAUGGAUCUCUCCGGCUGCCAGAGAUUUUUUGCUCUAUCUGCACCACUGUCAAGAACAGAUGACAUUAAGUUACAACAAGAGUUUUCACUUGAGAAAGCGGUUACCUGAGAAUUCCAGUGAAGCAUGGAAAGAAAAUCGAUAAAACGACUGAAAAUGAAACACCAGGUUCAUAUCCUGGACCCCAGUUACUUUUGAAUGUUUUCCACGAAAGUCCAGUUAAGCUGGGAGGUACAUUUCCAUUAGGCGCCGUAAACAAACCAAGGUAAUACGACAGCAUGGUAUAAAGCACAACGAGGAAAAACGCAAUGCCUAGCUUGGAAACAAAUUUGAUCCCAAAAUAGACCUGUCAACACAAGAGAACCACGCAGUUCAGUGAAAUCAUUUGAGUCAUGCCACAAGAACGAAAUGAACCGAAAACAAAACUAUUCCUACCAGUAGUCCAAGAGCAAAGAGUAUGAUCAGACCAAUGAUCCGAUUUGCAGACGGAAAGCGAAAUGCUGAGAAGGUAAAUUCCAACAUCUCCACGGCACCGAGUGCCUGCACAAAGACGGAAGCAUAGCAUUUAUGAAGAUCACGAUUCACUGUAAGCUUGGAGUUCAGACCGACUUACUUCGAGAACUGCAAGAAGCAUUACUCCGAUGUAGUACAGGCAUCCAACUGCGCCUCCAAACUUAGGACCCAGCGCUCUCGAUAUCAGAUAGCUGCCAGCCAACAGAAGAAUGACUUUUAACUUCACGAGAACUCGACGACUUACUAUGUGCCACCUUCUUCUAUGGGACCAUUUGUAGCGACAGCACUCAACGACAUGGUUGUCAACAGCGCGCAGAGGAAGGAGAUGAUGGCCACCAAGAAGGAUUGCCAUACUCCAGCAUUCCCAACGAUGUAGAAGAACCUCAAGAAAAUCAAAACUCCUGAAAGCACACACGGGCAAAUUGUGUGAGAAUUGACAAAGAAAAGGAGAUGGAAACCGGGAGCAGCUUACCCCACAUAUUUUCACAAGUCGGGAUGAGCACACCAGCGUAAGUCCCGAGCCCGUCCUGGUCUUUUCUGCGGAACUUUCUCCAUAAAGCUGUAAGGAAGCCGGGCUUCUCCUCCUCCUUGGUGUACGGUGGCGAGUUCUCUCUCAUCUCUUGCUUAAACUCGGCCGUCCUCUGCAACGAUUCCGUGGAUGACGCCCUGGACGCGACCUUGUGUGAGUUGAAGCAAGAUUUCCCGGCAAUGACCGGGCUGUCGGGCGGAAAUGCUUGCGAGGAUUCCAUCUUUCCUGAAAAAGCACCGACAAAACCUGUACAGCACAAGAUCCAACGCACGAAUCAAUCGAUUUGCGAGCCAUGCAACAUAAAUUCCCCAGCUCUAAGGCGCCAUGCAAGCUGGCGGCAUGGAAAUUUUACCUCAAAAACCUCGACUGAGCGCAGGAUUGCCGCUCGUGGCCUCGAAUUCAAGAGAGCGCUCUAGAGAAGCAGCCGCUGGGGGGAGGAGAAAAGGGCGCAGGCAGCGCGGAGAAUUAGGUAAAGGAUUGCACAAACCGCCUCAAUCGAACCGCAUUCCAGAGCUGCGGCGCCCGGCGCCUCGAUCCGAUUGACGAUCGCGUCGCGCGGCGAUCCGAGAGAAGAGGCGCUCGCGAUCCUAUAAUCUAGACGAUGAAUGUAUGGCAUGCAGAGCGCAAAUAAUCUCCCCCCUGUCCCUCUUCUCUCUCUCUUGUCUUGGAGCCAAGAAGGGGGAAAAUGGAAAGGAGAGAAAAGAAAAAAAGAGGCACUAUACAACAACACAAAUCAAGUUAAUAUAAACAAGAACAGCAUCAGAUUUUGGGAACCAAAGCGUACGGAGUGGGCGGGAGUUUGAGUCGUGUAUAAACGAGAUUAGUUUUUUAGUGACGAGAAGAUCCAACGCCGAAAACCGUUCCACGUGCCUUACUAUUCUGGAAUGCCCCGUUUACUUUUUGCCCGAAUCUCAUGCGAAGAUUCGCAUUGCGUCCAAGCUACAAGGUAGGUAAGCUGAGCUUGCAGUUUGAUCACACCACAACAGUGCCUUGUUUGUAAACUUUACAUUAUAAGAGAAGGGGAUCCGGGAAUAUAGUAUUUCUUUCCUUGUUUCACCACCUACAACAUCGUGAUUGAUCGCUUCUAUAUGCAUUCAUUACAUUGCCCAUGUACAUUUUCGAAUCUCUCUUCCCUUUAUUUUUUGAGUCUUGCUUUUCACCAACACUGUGAGCGUUGGAAUCGAUGUUUCCAGAUCCCAAAGCGUUGUUGCGGUGUAUGUGGGUGUAAAUCAGCGCGGGUGGCAUGGCUAGCUUGGCUGAUCCAUGGCGCAAAACACGUGUAAUUUCCCUUUGGCCAACGUCAUAGCGCCAAAAGGGGAUGGGUCCCGUUUCCGUUGACUUGAGCCGGCUGAGGUGGCGUCCAUAUCAUAGGCUGCCUCCUGCGUUGACUAACGUAGCUCCGUACGCCUCUCAACCUCAACGACAAAGGCAGAGCUCAUGAGCUCAUCCUACUCCACUUUAUUUCCUCCUUGCUAUAAACUUCCUUGACCGAGUUUCCCCAUCAGAAGCCGGUUCAUCCGCGAGAUACUGUGACACAAUCAAAGAAGACAGCUCUGUGUGUGUUCCAUGCUCAAGAUUGUCAAUGGCGUUCGAUGGGAACAUCAAAGUUGGCGUAGCUAGCAAGAAGGGGAUUAUUUCCAUUCUUCUUGGUGCAAGCCAAUGUGUGUGGCAUGACAGAGGAGCGUCUGUACAAAACCGUUUACCUUCCCCCCCAAGAGAUCUGAUGCGUUUUGAAUGGAAGAAUUUCUCUGGAGAUAUGAUUCCUGUGAGUCUAUCUAUGUGAUAGUGCUCCUCUCAAGCAUCCACUUCGCUGAAGUUAGCUGGAGCCUAUUGGGCAAGAGAAGGUAAGAGAUGACCCUGCAGCCCGGACAGAACGGCAUGCUUUCCACGAGCUCAACCUUGGAACAGUACGUAGUGAUUUUCCAGUGGGGCAAACCCAAAGUCGCUGCAGAUACAAGCGAAUCAAGUGACGCUCAAGUCCAUGAGCCUGAUAUGGCUGUCGCCUUCGGAAGCAACGAAAUGCCUCUCAGGGAUACCCCCUUUGGGCAUAUGCAGCAACAACAUUUUUCACAACUCCUCGUCCUUCCUGAGCAUUUCGCGAAUGAGGAUUCUAGCUUAUUCAAGGCAGCCAUCCCGGUCAUAUGCCCCUACCAUGGUAGACCACGACGCAGCGCCCCUGUAACUAGUACAAUCAGACCCUUCCAUAUCCCCACUCUGGGCAUGUUCGUCGCGGUGUCGUCUUUCCUAGUGACCAUUCGAAACCGUGACAUGCCGCCCCUCGCGGGCAUCUUUCCAAAGCUUCAGGAGAUGCGUAUGAUGCCCGAAUCCAGGUGGCAGCACCCUCUUCAAUCAUGGCCAUCCAGGUGGCAGGCACCCGCACGGGAAUCUUUCCAAAUGAGACGUCGCUUUUGGGCAGGCAUUUUGCCUGGGCGAGGCAGGCGUGGUCGCAGGAGGCCCAAGAGAUCUCCAAAGAGAAGCUUAGUUUGAUAGGCGGAAGAGGCGUAGCUCCUCACGAUUGUGUUCCUGUUCCGACACGGCAUCAGCUCAAUUGCUCAAAGGCAGGCCUUGCGUCGGCCACCCUCUCACCGCACGACGUGAAUGCGGCAAAUCAUCGUGUUCCACACGGAUGAUCUUUCUGGCCGAAGCACAUCGACAUCGGCGCAGCGGCAUUUUGAGAAAGAAGGGCGUGGGGUCGUUGAGAUGGCCGUGCUGCGCGUCAUCGGCGUCCGCGUCAGUGAAGGGCAUGCCAUCGAAGACAAGCUUGGCGUGAUCGAGCUCCCCUGCCGAGCAAAUGCAGAAAGGAUGGAGUUCCACGCAUCAAAUCACGCCGCCUUUGAUCGCCGGGAUCGCCGUUCGCUGCAAAGCCCACACCACGUCCCAGCGGCAGACAGGUUUCCCCGUUUGGGCAUAUGCCAUCAGCAUCACCGCGUCUUUGUACGGCAUUGAGUGGUACAGCUGCUCUCUGCGAAUAUGCGUUACUUUGGAUUGAUGAUUCGCCAUCAGGCGCGACGCCGCGAGUGUGUCCCCCCAUUUUGCGCGUACGUCUUGAUCACGAGGUCCCACGAAACAUGGCUGCGCCGAGGAGCCGCAUCGAACAGGCCAACGGAGCGUGGAACAAGAUCCACAAUUUCGUACGGCGCCACGUCAUUGCUGUCGCGCGACUCGUGGACUUCUCCCGUUUGCGUGCACGCCGCGGCCAGGAUGUUUCAUGACAUGCUGCGCAAUUCCAUCAGACACUCGCCCAAGCUCGCGCCCCGUACAUGAGGAAAACGUGAUUUUGCGAUGAAAUCGCUGAUCUGCCGGCUCGAGGAGAGGAUAUGAGCCUGGACCUGGUGAUCCUGUAUGAGAUCGAGAUUUCUCUCGGUGAUCUCAUCCCUGGAAUGAGACGCUGGAUCCUCCCAACUUCCGCUCGCUCCAGGGGCAACAACAAAGAAAAAUGCUUCCUCACUUUUCUUAUGUAUAUGUCAAUGACAGAGGAGCGUUUGAACAAAAUUCCACUCGAAAGAUCUGAUAUCAAAACCUUUUUCCUCUUCCUAGUGGCAGAGUUUCCCUGUUGUUUGUGUUUGUGUGCUCAUCAAAUAGGAUUCUGCAAUCCCACAAGAUCUCCACUUUACUCACGUUGGCUGGAGUGCGAGAGCAGAUUGGCCAAGAGAAGAUAAGCCGCGGGGCCGCCUUGACUCUCCACCUCGGGAGCCCGCCGCGCCGCUACCAAAGCAAGAUUGAUUUGCUCCUGCGUCCUGCAAGCGCCGAGAAGCGUCCUCCACGCAACUUGGCCCGGCCAAAACGGCAUGCUUUCCACGAGCUCGGCCGCCUCGUCAAGCCUACCGCAGCGAGCAAAGAUGUCAACCAUGGAGCAGUAGUGAUCUCCAGUCGCGCAAAACCCAAAGUCGCCACCAAUGCAAGCAAACCAAGAGACACUCACGUCCAUGAGCCCGAUGUGGCUGCAGGCAGCCAGCACGGCGGAGAAGGUGAUCUCAUCCGGUGUCAAGCCUUCCAAGCUCAUGAGUCGAAAGCACUCAAACGCCUCCCGGUGAUGCCCGUUUUGGGCAUAUGCUGCAAUAACAGUGUUCCACGACACCAAGUCCUUGCUGGGCAUUUCGCAAAAGAGUCUGCUAACUUCCUCAAGGCAGCCAACGCGGGCAUAUGCCCCGACCAUGGUAGCCCAUGACGCAGCGUCCUUGUAUCUGGUACCAUCGAACGUCCUCCGCGCACCUUCCAGAUCCCCACUCUGGGCAUAUCCAUGGAGCAACGAGUUCCACGCCGCGGUGUCCUCCUUGGGCAUCUUUCCCAGGGCAUCCGCCGCUUGGUCCAUCCGCCCUCUCCGUGCAAAUGCCGUCACAAGCGUCGUCCACGAAACGCUGUCCCUCGCGGCCAUCUUUCCGAACACUUGCUCCAGGAGAUUCGUAUGAUUCCCGGAUCCCCCGUACGCCCCAAGCAUCGCGUUCCAUGAUACGAGCGUGCGUUCCGGGGAGCCGUCGAAGAGCCGCUUGGCAGCGGGGAGAUCCCCGUUCUGGGCGCUCCCGGCAAUCAUGGCCGUCCAGGUGGCAGGCGCCCGCGCGGGAAUCUUUUCAAACGCACGGCGGGCGUCGUCCGGCUGGCGGGAGUGGGAAUAUGCGGUGAUGAUGAUGUUCCACGGGACGACGUCGCUCUUGGGCAUGGCAUCAAACAGGGACUUCGCCUGGGCGAGGCAUGCGUGGUCGGAGUAGGCUCCCAGCAAGAUCGCCCAGGAGAUCUCGUCUCUCUCGGGCAUCCAGUCGAAGAGGAGCUUGGUUUGAUCGAGGGCGGCGCCCGAAGUGGCGUAGCUCCUCACGAUUGUGUUCCACGACACGAUGUUCCGACACGGCAUCAGCUCGAAGGCGGAUCUUGCCUCGGCCAGCCUCUCGCCGCACCACGCGAAUGCGCCAAUCAUCGUGUUCCACACGAAGGCAUCGCGCUCGGGGAUGGAAUCGAACAUUCGCUUGGCGUUGCCAGUCUCUCCGGCCGAAGCGUACGCCUGGCACAUCGACUUGAGCGACAGUGCGUGGUGCAGUGGCAUUUUGGAAAAGAAGGCCUUUGCCUGGCCGAGAUGGCCGUGCUGCGCGUGUGCCGCAAUCAUGGCCGUCCAUGUCAAUGCAUCCCUCAAGGGCAUCUCAUCAAAGAGAAGCGUCGCGUGUUCAAACUCCCCCUGCUGCGCAAAAGCGGAAAGGAUCGAGUUCCACGACACAAGGUUCCGCUGAGGCAUCCAAUCGAACAUUUCCUUUGCACGUCCGGGAUCGCCAUUUGCUGCAAAACCCCACAUCAUGGCCGUCCACGACACCACGUCCCACUGCGGCAUCCUUCGAUACAGCUCCUCUGCGAGACAGAUUUCCCCGUUCUGGGCAAAUGCCGUCAGCAUCGUCGUCCACGUCACCCCGUCUUUGUACGGCAGUGAGUGGAACAGCUGCUGCGCAUCCUGGACGCUGCUGCUCUGCGAAUAUGCCGCCAGGAGUGCGGUGCUGGAGACUGUGUCUUGCAAUGGCAUCCUUUCGUAGAGUUCCUUGCCUUUCGCAAAAUGCCCGGUUUGGGUAUAUGCAGUGAUCAUGGUGUUCCACACCUGGGGAUCCCUCUCAGGCAUGGAGUCGAAGAGAGAUUUUGAUUGGGCGAGUUGCCCCUCUUCGGACGCUGCAAGGAUCAUACUGAUCCAACAGACAUUGUCCCAUCCUGGCGCGCGAUCGAACACGUCUUUGGCGCCGCGGGUAUGCCCCCCUUGGGCGCACGUCUUGAUGACGAGGUUCCACGAGACAUGGCUGCGCUGGGGAGCCGCAUCGAACAGGAGCUUCACUCGCGCGACGUCUCCGGCCUGGGCGUGGAGCGAGAUCCAUGAAUUCCAGGACACGGCAUCGUGCAUUGGCAUCCUGUGGAUCACCUCCGCUGCGUGGUGGCAUUGUCCGCCCGAGGCAUACGCGCGGCACAGCGAAUUCCACGACACCACGUCUCGCCUGGGAUUGCUGUCGAAGAGGGCGCGCGAUUCGGAGAUCUCUCCCGCUUGCGCGCACGCCGCGGCCAGGAUAUUCCACGACACUGUGUUUGGCUGCGCGAUCCCAUGGAACACUGCCCUCGCCUCGCCCAAGCUCCCGCACGCGCAGUACAUGAGGAGAAUGUGAUUCGCGAUGAAAACGCUCGUUUGCCGGCUCGAGGAGAGGAUCCGAGCGUGGAUCUUGCGGCCCUGGAUGAGAUCCCUGGCCCUGGCACACGAUCGGAGAAGAGAAGUGAAGGCAUCCUCGUUGAGCCGACCAAGGGCAGGGGGCAUUCAAAAUGGUCUUCACCAUUUUAGGGUUCUUGGAAAUUGUUACCCGUUUGGGAGAAAGAAGAAAAGAAUGAGCUGCAAUCGCGUUCCCGGGGGCGGAUGCCAGGGGCCCGAUGUGCGGCUUAUCGAUCGCGGCAGCCAUGUGAGUGAUCGCUUCUCGGUGAUCCUUGUUUUCUCAUCUUGCACAGGUGAUUCUGGACAACGGGAUUGUCGAGGUGACGAUCUCGAGGCCUGGGGGCAUUGUGACGGGGAUUCGCUUCGGCGGCAUUGAUAAUCUGCUCGAGAUUCACAACAAGGAGACGAAUCGCGGGUUUGUUUGUUUGCUUUCAUUCCUUUCUCGUCUAGCGAGCAAGCAUCUGAUUGUUUUAUUUUUCUUUCUUUGCUGCCUUGAAGCUACUGGGACCUCAACUGGAACGAGCCUGGAGGGAAGGACACUUUCGAUGUGUAAGGCAAACUUUGUUUACUCGAUCGUGAUUGCUAACCGAUCAGCCAUCGCUACGAUUUUUCAGUCCCAGUGGAACGAUUUUCCAGGUUGUGUGUAGCGAUGGUGACAAGGUGGAACUUUCGUUUCUGCGGCCUUACAUUCCGGGAACUAAGAUGCUUCCUCUUAACAUCGACAAAAGGUGAGUGAUUCUCUUUUCAUUGUGUGCUAGUAGCUAGCUUUGCUGGCUUAAAACGUAGAUUUGUUCUUCUCCGUGGCAACACUGGAUUUUACACUUACGGAAUCUACGAGAGGCCGGCUGGAUGGCCAGACUUCAACCUUAAUCAAACACGGGUGACUUUUAAACUCCGCAAGGACAGGUCUGGAAAAAUAUCGGAGCUUUCAUCCUUCUUGAUACUUUGCUGGCUUGUAGGUUCCAGUUCAUGGCAAUGGCCGAUACAAAACAGCGGCCAAUGCCAUCGCCGGAUGAUCGUUUGCAGCAACACUGCACGCAGCUAGCUUAUCCUGAGGCUGUUUUGAUUCACACUUCUCAAAACCCUGAGUUUCGAGGUGAGGUAUGGGAUUAACACUAUGUUUUUGUUGAGUAUAAAUUUCUGUAACAUUUUUGGCCAGGUGGAUGACAAAUAUCAAUAUUCUUGUGAUAACAGGGAGAACAGAGUACAUGGUUGGAUCUCAUGCAACCCCGCUCUAGGCUUCUGGAUAAUCACCGCCAGUGACGAGUUCCGCAAUGGAGGGCCUUUGAAACAAAAUUUGACUUCACACGUUGGCCCAACAUGUCUCGCUGUAAGUUAAGAACUUUGGAUAUUGAAGCUCUCUAGAUUUCUUUUUUUUUGUUUCCACCAGAUGUUUCACAGUGCACAUUACGCUGGCGCAGCCCUGUGCCCAGAGUUUCGCAAUGGGGAAGCCUGGACUAAAGUUUUUGGACCGGUUUUCAUAUAUUUGAAUGUAGCGGCAACUUAUGCUCAGGUGAAUUGUCGCUAUCUUUGGGAGGAUGCAAAGCAGCAGGUGAUAUGUCUAUGCGGAUAUUUUUUGUUUCUUUUACCUCCUGUGUUUCAGAUGGUUACAGAAGUGGGGUCGUGGCCUGUUCCCUGGCCUGUGUCUCCAGAUUUUCCCAAAUCAAUGGACCGCGGAAGCAUUUCAGGAAGACUACUAGUCAAAGAUAGGUACUGUUUCAUUAUGAGCUGCUGUCCUCGGUUCAUAUGUUUUUCUGUGACAUUGUAGCUUCAAGUCACCAACCCCAUUUGCGGGAUGUUAUGCCUUUCUUGGCUUAGCUUCCCCCGGUGACAAAGGUUCGUGGCAAACGGAGAGCAAGGUGAAUGCUUUUUCUUUUGUGGGGGUUAAUGGACGAUGUACCUGACUUGUUUGUUGCUGCCAGGGCUACCAAUUUUGGGCCCAGGCUGAUGCGGAGGGAUAUUUCCACGUCAAGCAUGUCAGAGCAGGCAAAUAUAAUCUGUAUGGCUGGGUGCCUGGUGUCCUGGGUGACUACAAAAAGGAAGGCAGCAUAGAUGUCUAUCCCGGUUUGUAUUCCACGCAGUGUUGCCACUUCCAAGAGUCACAAAACUCACUAUGUAUGCAGGGUCAUGGUUGCAACUGGGACAUAUGGUUUAUGAACCGCCCAGGGAUGGACCGACAGUCUGGGAGAUUGGAAUUCCCGAUCGAACAGCUGCCGAGUUUCACAUUCCGGAUCCGAACCCAAAGUAUAUCAAUAGGCUUUUUGUCAACCAUUCGGAAAGGUACGCACACUCUUGGUUUUGCUUUUUUUCGGUGGCUGGCAAUCUUACUUUUCUCCUUACAAGAUCUGAAUACUUUAUUGUAGAUAUCGACAUUAUGGCCUGUGGGAGCGGUACUCGGAGCUAUACCCAGAAGGUGAUCUUGUGUUCACCAUUGGUAAAAGCGAUUGGAGAUCUGAUUGGUUCUUUGCACAUACUUGCCGGUACAAUGUCACGACUUCCUCAAUACUCACGCUCACCUACUGAUGGAAAUAUUUUUUUAAACCUUUUCCGCUUGCGGUGCUGCAGAAUUGAAAAGGAUGGUAGCGUCAAACCAUCGACUUGGCAGAUCCGGUUUCAUCUGCCCUGCGUCCAAGGCGGGGUUUAUAAGCUCCGGUUAGCUUUCGCGGCAUCAAACAAUGCAGCCAUUCAGGUACAAAAAGGUGUUUUAACGCUAACGCUGUGUUUCAACCGCAGGUCAGAGUUAAUGACCCCAAUACAAGGACCACGGUAUUUGACACGAUGCAAUUUGGCAAGGAUAAUGCAAUAGCACGCCAUGGAAUCCAUGGCCUCUACCACCUUUGGAAUGUGGACGUGAGGUCGGAGUUAUUCAGAGCCGGUGAAAACAUUCUCUACUUGACGCAGCGCAAGCCAACAAGUCCCCAUUGUGGGGGUUAUGUAUGACUACAUCCGUCUUGAGGCACCUGGUGAGUGUAGGUACGAGAGCUAGAGGACAGCAGCUUUCUCGCGCGGCUUGCAAUCUUGCGUUUUGUCCUUCCCUCGCGCAUAUUAUAAUUUGUGGGGGCCUCUCCCUCUGGAAGGAAGCGUCCAAAGUGGAAAAAGAGCAAGGCUCGCUUGGUUUGUAGCAGCAGCAGAGGAGGGAGGCGACCUCUCUCUCUCUCUCUCUCUCUCUCUCUCUCUCCCUGAGGGGCUCUCCUUUAUGUCGCAAUCAGGCAACAAACACAAUUUGGCUCCUUGGCUCGCCGCUUCUCCUCUUUCGCCAGCUUUGCGGUACGAGAAAAAGAAAAGAAGUUAAGCUAUUCUUCUUCGUCCUGGUUUUGCUCUCGAUCAUUCAUUCCCUCUUCCAGUUCGUGCUUUUAACAAGAAAAAGGAUGAUCCGGGUGGAAGAUUUGGAAUUAAGGUGCUUGAGGUCAAUCGCCACUAUAUAACUCCCGGUUCGUAUCAGGAUCUGCGACGUCAUCCCAGAGCGCGUUCCUCACCGGAGCAUAAAAAAGAGCGUUUGCUCCACUGACGCUGCGGCCGUGGGAUGGGAAAGAUCCAACGGCCCCUGGCCCGUCUCAAAAGACGUGGGUGGCAUCAUGCAAUGUGGAUGGGGGUAAGGCCGCUCCCCUAGCCACCGGCUGCGGUCUACGUCAACAAAUAGUUCCCGGGCGAAUAUCCAUCCCUGCAACAAAGCUAGAUGCCACUACGCCACUUGAUGUCCCCGCCCUCCUUGAGAAACCAAAACAAACAAUUCCCUCCCUUCCUAGAGUUGAGUUGAAUACCAUUUUGUGUGGUAAUGUGUGAGAGCGAUGUUUUCCAAACCAGCCAAUUUUUAUACACCCAAUGCUGCGGCCACAUUUUUCUAAAGACUAUAGAAAACGAGAGAUGAGCACAAUCCCUGGAGUUUUUAUAUGCACAAGGGGUGUCAAUCUGGAAGCAGGAAUCAUGUCAUGCAUGGCCGUCUCUUUCUGCAUUGGAGGUAGAGAGGGUAUAGAGUGUAUAGAGCUGCUUCAGCUCUUUUUGAGGGGAAUAUGCAGGCAGUUAUAAACCCUUAUUUUUGAAUGGAGCUAUCCAGUGUAUAUUUUGUUAUGAAUCAACUGCCAAGGAUCUUGGUGGACAAAUUCCAGACCCAGCAGCCGCAGCAGCCAGUAGCAGCAGCCAGAGCAGCAGCUGCUGCUUCUCUGUACCCACUCUCUUGGAAGAUGUGUGGGAGCAUUGUAUGCUGUACCAAGAAAUGGAAAGAUGGAAAUCUCCCUCCUGGUUGCUCUCUCUUGUGGAUGUAGCAGCAGCAGCAGCCAAGAGCAGUGAGUGAGUGUGUGGCAGCAGAGCCAGGCUGGCCCAAAGGGCAGCCAUUCUAGGGCAAAAUCUAACUAGGGCCUAUAAUACUAAAGUGUCUUUUUUCUGUAUUCAAGUAGACUUGCUGACAUUUUUGUGCUGCAGAGUCACCUGACACUUUGAAUGACGCAGAGGGAAGAGAAGAGCAGCAGCAGGCAGGCAGGCAGGCAGGCAGGCAGUGGUGGGCUGCUAUGAUGUGGGGUGUAUCAUUUUCCCUCAGGAUUUCCCUCUCUUGUAAUGUCAUAACUGACCCAGUCCCAACCAAUGGAACCGCGGUUACCGUAUGAGUUUGCUGGUGGUGGUGCCGGGAGUGUGGGGGACAAGGGCGUCAGACAUGAUGGCCGUCCGCCGCCGCAGUCGCGUGGUGGCGGUAAGCCGCAGGCGGCGCCGUCCGGGCGGGAAUCUAUACUGGAUACAACCGCAACCCGUGGCCCGUAUUCGUAUGCCGUAUCCCGGUUGCCCAUAUUUCUUUCGUCUACAUUAGUGAUAAUGAUGCAUCAGAUUCUCGGGGCUUUCAAUCCAUCUAAGAACGAAGAUUCAAAACAAGUUGGCAAGCUCGAUCUAUAGAUAUUGAGAUUUUAUAAAUAUGGGUGGAGGGAUCACAUGGAUUCCUAACUUAACAGUACAAGUGGCGAGGAUUUUCGUUUAUCUUCAUGUCCCUUUGGUGUUGCCAUCCAUGGAAUCCUUUUGUCCAUUCUUUAUUCCCCCUUUAUUCUAAACAACGAACGAGAUUGUCACUUUGACAAUGAUAGGACAAUGCCAAUACAUUAGCAAAAAGGACUUGAAAAUAAGCUCCCUCCCCCGCCUCCCACUAUCACCGCAACACUGAGCAAAGAAAGAGUUGAAAAAGCUGUGAUUGCUUUUUGGGAGCCAGGGAAGAUGAAUCAAAAUCUUGGAGCUGGCUUAGUUGCGGUCCUAAAACACACUCGCCCUCCAGUUCGUUCUUUGUGAUGAAAUCUCCGGUGACGUCGAUGUUGCGUGCAUCAUUUUGUUUGUCCGCUUGCUCUCCAGGGGUCCACAAAUUUGUGUGAGUGGUUUCGGGGUCUCACUCACUCACCCCUGAUUGAUCCUAGUGCCAAAGCUUGGAGAGGAAUCCCACUUAUAACAAAAAUGUUUGGUGAUCAUGGCUAACUCUCUCUGCCACAAGAUGCCCCAAACACUUUGUUGCAAUGUACUUGUCAACUUUGUUUCCCUCAUCUUUAAAAGGUCUUUUGUUUAAUCUUUCCUGCUUGGCAAUCCUCAUCUUGCUUUGCUCCGCAUCUCAUCCAUACAAUACAGGGCACAUACAUACAUAGAAACAUGGCGGUACACAAAAACAAAGCUUGAAAUUCCCAGGCCAAGGGAAUGAGUGCUUGCCUUGUUGCCUCGCAGCAGCAUCACUACUAGAUUUACUGGGCGAGUUAAAAACAAGGAAAUUGUCCAGGAGGGGAAGGAAUACGUAUCUGCACACGUGUACGUAGAUAUACCCGUAAAAAGCAUCCCCUUGGGCUCGCUUUCACACCGCGCUGCUGUUUGGCAGCGACCUGUCCUUAAAGCCCCCUCUACCUAGGUCGUGUAUCCAAGAUUUACACUACACUGCUACACUACAUUGUUUCUUUCUCGCCUAUCUAUCUAUCUAUUUGCUCCGAGGGAUUCUCCUCUCUCCAUUUUAGGUAUCGCGCGCUCGAUCCACAUCCAUCGCCCAAGAGCUCCCGAAAUCUCAGCUCGCGACGCUGCGCCAGGUCUCCAGGCUCCAUGAGAGAGCUGGAAUCGUCCUUCUUUCCCUUGGCCGGAGAGGCGCGCGCGGGGGGCCGAAAUAUGUCUUAGCUACAGGACGCGCUCUUGGUCUCGAUCGGUGGCUCUAAGGCGGCGCUGUGCGUGUGUGUGCUCUCCAUCCCUUCCUCCGCCUUGCUUGCGAGCCUAGGAUGAGGAAGCAGCAGCAGCAGCAGCAGCAGCAGCGGUGUGGGAGUCACGGCGGCCGCGUGCGAGUAGUCGACGAAGUUCGUGUGCCCAGGGAGACGGAGAGGGACUACCACUGCCUGCGAGCGAUCAUCAUAAUCUGAAAGGGGGGGAUUCCAGGGAAACGAGGGCGUCGCAUUCGCCGGGCUUCGUUUGCUUUUCACUGUUUGCGGAAGCUGGGGGAGUGAGCCUGGUCCUGAGCUGACAGAGGAGAAGCAAGCAAGGCACGCAGCGAGGAGGAAGAACAAAGGGGGCUAGGCUCGCAUUUUUGGCAUUUUUGGUUUUGCGGCUCAUCUCAAGAUCAUUGUGGAAGAUCGUCCCGGAUCAUCGCGGGCAUUGCUAUCAUGUCGGCGGAGGGUCUGGGCCAGGCUCUCCGGAGUCUUUGCAACAGGACGGGCUGGUGCUACGCUGUGUUUUGGAAGCUAAAGCGACGCAGCCGUAUGUGAGUAAAUCAUCCUUUCGCUUCGCUUGUGCUCUAAAGAGGGAGAGAGAGAGAGAGAGCUCUCUUGCUUGAUCUCCUGCUAACUGGAGGUGGCACUGCACUGCCUCUCUUGGGUUUUUUUAGCUACUGUUGACUUAGCUUGUCUCUUAUGCGUUUUUUCUCGCUGUGUUUUUAUUGCAGGGUGCUGACAUGGGAGGACAGCUACUACGAAUUCGCGACGCUGCCACCAAUCGCCAAUGCUUUGAGCCGCAGCGGCGCUGGGAAUGGGAGAAGCCCUCUGGACAUGCUGCUGCUCAAGCAAGAUGGUGGCAUUGCCGAAGAUCAGAUACAGUUGGCUGUCGCUAAAAUGUCCUUCCAGGUUUACUCCCUGGGAGAAGGGUACGCAACCCGGUUGUCGGUGUCGUGGCUAACCCAACUUUCCUCUCGGGCAGAAUAAUUGGGCGUGUAGCUUUCUCCGGAAAGCACCAGUGGGUGUUUGCAGCUGGGGAAAGAUCUAUGGAAAGCGGAGUACCAGCGGCAUUGGAGCACGGCUGGUCGAAUCAGUUUGAAGCGGGAAUAAAGGUAUAGUAGCUUUCAUUCGAGGGAGUCCUUAACUCUUUGGUGUGCAGACGAUUGCUGUGAUAGCAGUCCAGCAGCAAGGUGUUGUGCAACUUGGAUCGACUCAAACGGUGUGUAGCUUCUCCCAGCUCUUACUCAAGUAACUGUGUGUGUGCCCUUGCAGAUGGCCGAGGAUCUGAACUUGGUAGGCCAGAUCAGAGCAUUGUUCGGAGCAUUACAAAGCAUGCCUGGGGCAUUCGUUCCUGAGUUCACUCCCGAUGGACAAGCUGGAAGAGGCCUUUCUGUUGUCCCGAAAGCCAUGCCAACGUACGUCAACAAGCCCGCUUCUACGUUGGCAGCAUUUGGCUCUUCUGCAAGAACAACCAUGAGCAGCCGACCAGCGUGCCCCGUUUCUACGGAGGGAGAACACAUGUUGCGUUCAGCGGCCAAAGUUGUUGAGCCUGCCUUCCAACUUUCUACGAGCAGCUGGGCUUCAAUGGUAGUUCCAUCCAUGGGGCAGAAGCCACAGGAUAUACGCCCCGCCUCUACGGGUCUCUACUCUUCCAGAUCUCAGGUCUUCCAGGAAGAUCCAGGCCAUUUAAGCCGCUUGAUCAGCAAAGCUCCUGUGGAGAGUUUCUUUAAUUCAUCGGAGACAGGGCGGCUAUCUAAUUUCUCCAGCGAGCUUUCCUACGGACAAAGCAUCAGGCACUUCGACUCCAGCGGAUGGCCUCCGCCGGACUCCACCUUGCCAGUGUCAACAAGAGAUUAUGAUCAGAACCUGCCGCUGCCAACUUCCUUCGGAGACGAGACAGGGAUGAUGCGGCCGGGACCAGAAGAAGGAUUUGACUACAACAGUUUGUUUAAGGCGUUUCAGAAGGACGACUUGGAUGAUUUCAACAACUUGUUAGCGUCUCUGAAUAAGGAGUAUGCGGGAGGCCAAGCCAGCGGUUCGACAACCUGUUCACAGUUCGCUUUUGGGGAUGAAUUAUCCGAGGUGGUGGUUUCUCAUUCAAAGUGCGGGCCAAGUAAGGAGGAACUGUACGUGAACAUGCCAACACAACCGGUUGAAGACAUGAAACCUGCGAAGCUUGCUCUACCCUUUGAUGGCGCCACCGCUGCAAUGGACAAAACCCGCGAUGCAUUUGUCAAUCUGUCGGCGGACAGGCCAGAGCAGCUGUUGGAUGCUGUUGUUGCCGGUGCGAGUACGUCGUCACUGGGUUCCAGGGGACCGACGUCUGCCAAGAGUUCGUUAGGAUGCGCUCCCGCGCUAACUGUUGGGAACGCGGUGCAAUAUCUGGAGAAGCAGCUAUCGAGCUCUUCGAGUUUGGACAGAGAUAUAGCUGCCAACUGGCCUGCAAGCAGUGUGUCCGUGGAUGUUUCUUCAAGCUCUUGGACCGAAGGGAGCCAGGCUAAGAAGUCGGAGGAACACUCGUACAAGGAUACUAGCGGAGCGGCAGCCAGAAAGCAGGAGGAGCCUAGUCGGAUGGCUGGGAGGAAGAGGCUGAGGCCAGGGGAAGCUCCAAGGCCCAGGCCCAAAGACAGGCAGCAAAUACAGGACAGAGUUAGGGAGCUUCGCGAUAUUGUUCCCAAUGCAACAAAGGUAAGCGUCGUCCUUCAUGCAGUAAAAUGGAUGUUCACCUUCUACUUGUUUUGUGUGUAGCAGUGUAGCAUUGAUGCGCUGCUAGAGAAAACAAUCCGGCAUAUGAAGUUUCUCCAAAGUGUGACGCAGCACGGUGACAAGUGGAAAGCUGGAGGCGACGUAAAGGUGAACGAAGGCCGUGUCUUUGCAUCGAAUAUCGUCUAAUUUGGACAACUUAACAGGGAGAGAGGAGUGCAGAGAACAGCAGUGGCUUGGAGAACGGUGCAAGCUGGGCUAUGGAGCUUGAUGCGAAAGGAAGUGGCGUUCCGAUUCUUGUGGAGAAUCUCAAGCAGCCACGGCAAAUGCUUGUUGAGGUUGGUGAAUCAGUACUUAAUAUAUUGUCGUCGGCUGAUUUCUCGUGCUCUCUCAGAUGUUGUGCGAGGAGAGAGGCUUAUUCUGGGAGAUUGCUGACAACAUCCGGGGUCUUGGGCUUACAAUCCUGAAGGGUGUGAUGGAGUCGCGGAACGAUAAGAUUUGGGCUCGUUUCAACGUUGAGGUAGAAGAAGCGAUUCUUUUUCUUCUUUUCCUUGCGUUUGGUGUGUAGCUAAAACUCGACAUACAGGUUCACGCUGCGAAAGAAGUAAACCGGCUCAAGGUGGUUUGGAAUCUCACGCAGCUGCUUAGACCCAGCGGCAAGAACACGAGCGCGCCAAGCUUUGUGGGAUCGGAGAUGUCGGACGUUUGCUCCGAGUCAUUUGGAAGCCGAUUCCAGCCUCAAGUUGUUGCUUCGCACGGCAUUACCGUGUCCCCUGGUAGCGCCUGGUGACAAAUGUGAAGGUGGUGUUGUUAUUAUACACUAUGUUAUUUACAUAGCAUAGAUCUAUUUUUCUUCCUUGUACACCAUUGCUUGAGAAAAAUCGAAAGUUGCAAUUCUUCCUUGUGUUUAUAUAAAGCAUCGUAACUCGAGCAUAAUGUCUGGACUCCCUCCACAAAAUAUUAAAGGCCCCAAAAUAAGAGGCGCCAAACUGCCAGAACCAACGGCCAGGAUGGAGAUCGCCGACGUGGCGGGUUGCGAUGUCAUUGGCUGGGAGGUCGAUCCUCGUCGCGCCGCGAGAGCCAAUGGGAGCGCAGGAAUCAGGUGUUUAUAAGAUUUUCACGGAGCUAGGGGUUUCCAUUGGCGAGCAAUCUUCCUGGUCUGUGCGAGAGGAGUAAGUGGUAGCGCUAGCUCUCAAAUCAGUAGGCAGAGCGUCUCUUUCUCUCUGUCUCUCUCUCUCUCUCGGAUUCGCAAGCGGCGGAGCGAUGGCCAAGGCAGCGGAGAAGAAGCCUGUAGCUGAGAAGGUCCCAGCGGAGAAGAAGGCGGCGGAGAAGAAGCCGCGGGCGGAGAAGAAGACCCCGGCCAAGGAUCCAUCGGCGGCGGCGGACAAGAAGAAGCGCAAGAUGAAGAAGAGCGUGGAGACGUACAAGAUGUACAUAUACAAGGUACUCAAGCAGGUCCACCCCGAGACGGGCAUUUCGAGCAAGGCCAUGGGGAUCAUGAACAGCUUCAUCAACGACAUCUUCGAGAAGCUAGCGCAGGAGGCCUCGAGGUUGGCUCGCUACAACAAAAAGCCCACAAUCACCUCGCGGGAGAUCCAGACGGCGGUUCGUCUCAUCCUUCCCGGCGAGCUCGCCAAGCAUGCCGUGUCCGAAGGGACCAAGGCCGUCACCAAGUUCACGAGCUCUUGAGCUUGUUCUUCCUGCUUUUGCCUCUCCUUUCUUUUUCCUAUUAAUCUAAGUGUCGUUGUAACUCCUGUAUACUUGAUCUUCAAUGGUGAAACUUUUUUUUUCCAACAGUCAAUGUGUUC